AUACGGAGGGUGCAAGCGUUAAUCGGAAUUACUGGGCGUAAAGGGCGCGUAGGCGGUCUAUCAAGUCAGUUGUGAAAUCCCACGGCUCAACCGUGGAGGUGCAUCUGAAACUGAUAGACUUGAGUAUGGGAGAGGAAAGUGGAAUUCCCGGUGUAGAGGUGAAAUUCGUAGAUAUCGGGAGGAACACCAGUGGCGAAGGCGACUUUCUGGACCAAUACUGACGCUGAGGCGCGAAAGCGUGGGGAGCAAACAGGAUUAGAAACCCUAGUAGUCC
rnacentral:rRNA from 1 species